GCAGUCUGCAACUCGACUACAUGAAGCUGGAAUCGCUAGUAAUCGCAGAUCAGAAUGCUGCGGUGAAUACGUUCCCGGGUCUUGUACACACCGCCCGUCACACCAUGGGAGUCGGAAAUGCCCGAAGCCGGUGACCAAACCAAUAAGGAAGGAGCCGUCGAAGGCAGGUCUGAUAACUGGGGUGAAGUCGUAACAAGGUAGC
rnacentral:rRNA from 1 species